ensembl:snRNA U6 U6 spliceosomal RNA
GUCCUCGCUUUGGCAGCACACGUACUAAAUUGAAACCACAUAAAGAUUAGACGGUCCCUGCUUAAGGAUGAUACACAAAGUCCUGAAGCAUUCCAUAUUUUA